GAUGAACGCUAGCGGGAGGCCUAACACAUGCAAGCCGAGCGGUAGAGUUUCUUCGGAAACUUGAGAGCGGCGCACGGGUGCGUAACACGUGUGCAACCUACCUUUAUCUGGGGGAUAGCCUUUCGAAAGGAAGAUUAAUACCCCAUAAUAUAAUGAUUGGCAUCAAUUAUUAUUGAAAACUCCGGUGGAUAGAGAUGGGCACGCGCAAGAUUAGAUAGUUGGUGAGGUAACGGCUCACCAAGUCAAUGAUCUUUAGGGGUCCUGAGAGGGAGAUCCCCCACACUGGUACUGAGACACGGACCAGACUCCUACAGGAGGCAGCAGUGAGGAAUAUUGGACAAUGGGUGAGAGCCUGAUCCAGCCAUCCCGCGUGAAGGAUGACGGUCCUAUGGAUUGUAAACUUCUUUUGUACAGGGAUAAACCUACCCUCGUGAGGGUAGCUGAAGGUACUGUACGAAUAAGCACCGGCUAACUCCGUG
rnacentral:rRNA from 1 species